rnacentral:rRNA from 1 species
GGUUAAGUGACUAAGCGUACACGGUGGAUGCCUAGGCAGUCAGAGGCGAUGAAGGACGUAUUAACUUGCGAUAAGCGUAGAUGAGGCAGUAAAAGCCACUUGAGUCUACGAUUUCCGAAUGGGGAAACCCAAGUGCAUAAGCACUUAUCGCUGCGUGAAUACAUAGCGCAGCGAGGCAAACCGGGGGAACUGAAACAUCUAAGUACCCCGAGGAGAAGAAAUCAACCGAGAUUCCGAAAGUAGCGGCGAGCGAAAUUGGAUUAGCCCUUAAGCUUUAUUGGUGUCAGGCGAAGUGCUCUGGAAAGGCACGCGAUACCGGGUGAUAGCCCCGUAGCCGUUAACGCCAGUAAAGUGAAAUCGAGUAGGGCGGGACACGUGAUAUCCUGUCUGAAUAUGGGGGGACCAUCCUCCAAGGCUAAAUACUCCUGACUGACCGAUAGUGAACCAGUACCGUGAGGGAAAGGCGAAAAGAACCCCUGUGAGGGGAGUGAAAUAGAACCUGAAACCGUGUACGUACAAGCAGUAGGAGCCUCUUUAAUGGGGUGACUGCGUACCUUUUGUAUAAUGGGUCAGCGACUUAUAUUCAGUGGCAAGGUUAACCAAAUAGGGGAGCCGUAGGGAAACCGAGUCUUAACUGGGCGUUCAGUCUCUGGAUAUAGACCCGAAACCGGGUGAUCUAGCCAUGGGCAGGUUGAAGGUUGAGUAACAUCAACUGGAGGACCGAACCGACUAAUGUUGAAAAAUUAGCGGAUGACUUGUGGCUAGGGGUGAAAGGCCAAUCAAACUCGGAGAUAGCUGGUUCUCCCCGAAAGCUAUUUAGGUAGCGCCUCGGACGAAUACUACUGGGGGUAGAGCACUGUUAAGGCUAGGGGGUCAUCCCGACUUACCAACCCUUUGCAAACUCCGAAUACCAGUAAGUACUAUCCGGGAGACACACGGCGGGUGCUAACGUCCGUCGUGAAGAGGGAAACAACCCAGACCGCCAGCUAAGGUCCCAAAGUAUUGCUAAGUGGGAAACGAUGUGGGAAGGCUUAGACAGCUAGGAUGUUGGCUUAGAAGCAGCCAUCAUUUAAAGAAAGCGUAAUAGCUCACUAGUCGAGUCGGCCUGCGCGGAAGAUGUAACGGGGCUAAGCAAUACACCGAAGCUGCGGCAAUGCGAUUUAUCGUAUUGGGUAGGGGAGCGUUCUGUAAGCCGUUGAAGGUGAACUGUAAGGUUUGCUGGAGGUAUCAGAAGUGCGAAUGCUGACAUGAGUAACGACAAGGGGGGUGAAAAACCUCCCCGCCGGAAGACCAAGGGUUCCUGUCCAACGUUAAUCGGGGCAGGGUAAGUCGACCCCUAAGGCGAGGCCGAAAGGCGUAGUCGAUGGGAAACGGGUUAAUAUUCCCGUACUUCUUAUGAAUGCGAUGGGGGGACGGAGAAGGCUAGGUGGGCCAGGCGACGGUUGUCCUGGUUCAAGUGCGUAGGCUAAGAGACUAGGUAAAUCCGGUUUCUUGUUAGGCUGAGACACGACGUCGAGCUACUACGGUAGUGAAGUCAUUGAUGCCCUGCUUCCAGGAAAAGCCUCUAAGCUUCAGUUCAUAAGAAAUCGUACCCCAAACCGACACAGGUGGUCGGGUAGAGAAUACCAAGGCGCUUGAGAGAACUCGGGUGAAGGAACUAGGCAAAAUGGUACCGUAACUUCGGGAGAAGGUACGCUCUUGACGGUGAAGUCCCUUGCGGAUGGAGCUAUUGAGAGUCGCAGAUACCAGGUGGCUGCAACUGUUUAUUAAAAACACAGCACUGUGCAAAAUCGCAAGAUGACGUAUACGGUGUGACGCCUGCCCGGUGCCGGAAGGUUAAUUGAUGGGGUUAGACGCAAGUCGAAGCUCUUGAUCGAAGCCCCGGUAAACGGCGGCCGUAACUAUAACGGUCCUAAGGUAGCGAAAUUCCUUGUCGGGUAAGUUCCGACCUGCACGAAUGGCGUAAUGAUGGCCACGCUGUCUCCACCCGAGACUCAGUGAAAUUGAAAUCGCUGUGAAGAUGCAGUGUACCCGCGGCUAGACGGAAAGACCCCGUGAACCUUUACUACAGCUUGGCACUGAACAUUGAACCUACAUGUGUAGGAUAGGUGGGAGACUUUGAAGCGCAGACGCUAGUUUGCGUGGAGUCAACCUUGAAAUACCACCCUUGUAGUUUUGAUGUUCUAACGUUGGCCCCU